rnacentral:rRNA from 1 species
AUUGAACGCUGGCGGCAGGCCUAACACAUGCAAGUCGAGCGGAUGAGGGGAGCUUGCUCCCUGAUUUAGCGGCGGACGGGUGAGUAAUGCGUAGGAAGCUGCCCGAUAGAGGGGGAUACCAGUUGGAAACGACUGUUAAUACCGCAUAAUGUCUACGGACCAAAGUGUGGGACCUUCGGGCCACAUGCUAUCGGAUGCGCCUACGUGGGAUUAGCUAGUUGGUGAGGUAAUGGCUCACCAAGGCGACGAUCUCUAGCUGGUUUGAGAGGAUGAUCAGCCACACUGGAACUGAGACACGGUCCAGACUCCUACGGGAGGCAGCAGUGGGGAAUAUUGGACAAUGGGCGCAAGCCUGAUCCAGCCAUGCCGCGUGUGUGAAGAAGGCCUUCGGGUUGUAAAGCACUUUCAGCGAGGAGGAAGGGUGGUGUGUUAAUAGCACAUCAUUUUGACGUUACUCGCAGAAGAAGCACCGGCUAACUCUGUGCCAGCCGCCGCCGUAAUAC